UUGAGCCGGUUGCCCGGAAAUCGGGCACGUCCGGUUCUGAGAUGAAACUGGACCUUGC
rnacentral:misc_RNA from 1 species